UACGAGGGGUGCAAGCGUUGCUCGGAAUUAUUGGGCGUAAAGGGUAGGUAGGUGGUCUCGUUUGUCUGGGGUGAAAGCCUUGAGCUUAACUCAAGAAGUGCCCCGGAAACGGCGAGACUAGAGUUCUGGAGAGGGUCGUGGAAUUCCCGGUGUAGCGGUGAAAUGCGUAGAGAUCGGGAGGAACACCAGUGGCGAAGGCGACUACCUGGCCUGUUCUUGACGCUGAGGCGCGAAAGCUAGGGGAGCAAACGGG
rnacentral:rRNA from 1 species